ACGCUCGACACCUACGGGGGCAGCAGUGGGGAAUAUUGCACAAUGGGGGAAACCCUGAUGCAGCGACGCCGCGUGAAGGAAGAAGUAUCUCGGUAUGUAAACUUCUAUCAGCAGGGAAGAAAAUGACGGUACCUGACUAAGAAGCCCCGGCUAACUACGUGCCAACAGCCGCGGUAAUCUGAGCGGGCUGGCAAGGC
rnacentral:rRNA from 1 species